AACGAACGCUGGCGGCAUGCCUAACACAUGCAAGUCGAACGAGACCUUCGGGUCUAGUGGCGCACGGGUGCGUAACGCGUGGGAACCUGCCCUUAGGUUCGGAAUAACUCCCCGAAAGGGGUGCUAAUACCGGAUAAUGUCUUCGGACCAAAGAUUUAUCGCCUUUGGAUGGGCCCGCGUUGGAUUAGCUAGUUGGUAGGGUAAAAGCCUACCAAGGCGACGAUCCAUAGCUGGUCUGAGAGGAUGAUCAGCCACACUGGGACUGAGACACGGCCCAGACUCCUACGGGAGGCAGCAGUGGGGAAUAUUGGACUACGGGCGAAAGCCUGAUACAGCAAUGCCGCGUGAGUGAUGAAGGCCUUAGGGUUGUAAAGCUCUUUUACCCGGGAUGAUAAUGACAGUACCGGGAGAAUAAGCUCCGGCUAACUCCGUG
rnacentral:rRNA from 1 species